GAUGAACGCUGGCGGUAUGCUUUACACAUGCAAGUCAUACGGGAGUUAGUUUCGGCUAACUCCAGUGGCGGACGGGUGAGUAACACGUGAGAAUUCGCCUUUAGGAGGGGGAUAACAGGGGGAAACACCUGCUAAAACCCCAUAUGCCUUCGGGUCAAAAGAGUAAUCUGCCUAAAGAGAAGCUCGCGGCUGAUUAGCUAGUUGGUAGGGUAAAGGCCUACCAAGGCGACGAUCAGUAGCUGGUCUGAGAGGAUGAUCAGCCACACUGGAACUGAGACACGGUCCAGACUCCUACGGGAGGCAGCAGUGAGGAAUUUUCUGCAAUGGGCGAAAGCCUGACAGAGCAAUACCGCGUGAGGGAAGAAGGCUUACUGAGUUGUAAACCUCUGUUACCUAGGGAGGAAGAUCUGACGUUACCUAGGAGACGAAGCAUCGGCUAACUCCGUGCCAGCAGCCGCAGUAAGAC
rnacentral:rRNA from 1 species